UACGUAGGGUGCGAGCGUUGUCCGGAAUUAUUGGGCGUAAAGAGCUCGUAGGCGGUGUGUCACGUCGGCCGUGAAAACCUGCAGCUUAACUGUGGGCGUGCGGUCGAUACGGGCAUCACUGGAGUUCGGCAGGGGAGACUGGAAUUCCUGGUGUAGCGGUGAAAUGCGCAGAUAUCAGGAGGAACACCGGUGGCGAAGGCGGGUCUCUGGGUAGAUACUGACGCUGAGGUGCGAAAGCGUGGGGAGCAAACAGG
rnacentral:rRNA from 1 species